UGAACGCUGGCGGUAGGCCUAACACAUGCACAUCGAACGGCAGCACAGUAAGAGCUUGCUCUUACGGGUGGCGAGUGGCGGACGGGUGAGGAAUACAUCGGAAUCUACUUUUUCGUGGGGGAUAACGUAGGGAAACUUACGCUAAUACCGCAUACGACCUACGGGUGAAAGCAGGGGAUCUUCGGACCUUGCGCGAUUGAAUGAGCCGAUGUCGGAUUAGCUAGUUGGCGGGGUAAAGGCCCACCAAGGCGACGAUCCGUAGCUGGUCUGAGAGGAUGAUCAGCCACACUGGAACUGAGACACGGUCCAGACUCCUACGGGAGGCAGCAGUGGGGAAUAUUGGACAAUGGGCGCAAGCCUGAUCCAGCCAUACCGCGUGGGUGAAGAAGGCCUUCGGGUUGUAAAGCCCUUUUGUUGGGAAAGAAAAGCAGCAGGUUAAUACCCCGCUGUUCUGACGGUACCCAAAGAAUAAGCACCGGCUAACUUCGUG
rnacentral:rRNA from 1 species